UAACGGUAACAUGGAUUGUCAAUUAUUAUUUAAACCCUAAUCCCUUUCCCAAUUCUUAAAAAACCUAUUUGUUCUCUUCUCUUCUUCUCAGAUUUCUCCAGCAAUUCUCCAGCAAAUCUUUUCUUCUCUUCUCUUCUUUCUCUCAUUUCUGUUCUCUUUUUGGUAUCAAUUAAUUUCUUCCCUUCUCUUCUUCCACUCAUUUCUGUUGUUGACGUGUUUAUUAAUGUCGAACUUCUCGGAAUCGACGAACUCGUCAAUGUCACCUUGCGUUGCUGCUCGAAUCUGUAAGUGUGGUGUUUCUCCAAAGUUGAAUACUUCUUGGACCCAAUUAAACCUAGGUCGUAGGUGUUUUGCUUGCAAAAUCGGAAAGAAAAAGGGUGGAUGUGAUUAUUUCUGUUGGUAUGACGAUGAGAUGCCUACUCAAGCGAAGAAUAUAAUUUGGGGUUUAUUAAAGAGAGUCAAAGCUUUUGAAGAGGAGAAAGUUCGAGCAAAAAGAAGACGGAUCCUUUUGACGAUUGUUGUUGUAUUGUUGGUCGUUUUAUGGAAACUGUAUGACUGAUGAAUUUUGGUUGACUGAUGAGCAAAAAGAAGACGGAUUUCUGUUGUUGCUUUAAAUUUCUGUUUUGAAACUGUUGUUGUAAUAUUCAGAUGUUGUAUAAAUACAACUGAAUUUUGUUAUAAACUUCUGUUUAUAUUCAGAUGUUGAAACCGUUGUUUUAA